rnacentral:rRNA from 1 species
CCUACGGGAGGCAGCAGUGAGGAAUAUUGGUCAAUGGACGCAAGUCUGAACCAGCCAUGCCGCGUGCAGGAAGACGGCUCUAUGAGUUGUAAACUGCUUUUGUACAAGGGUAAACGCAGAUACGCGUAUCUGUCUGAAAGUAUCUUACGAAUAAGGAUCGGCUAACUCCGUGCCAGCAGCCGCGGUAAUACGGAGGAUUCAAGCGUUAUCCGGAUUUAUUGGGUUUAAAGGGUGCGUAGGCGGUCGUAUAAGUUAGAGGUGAAAGCACGAGGCUCAACUGCGGAAUUGCCUCUGAUACUGGUCGGCUAGAGAGUAGUUGCGGUAGGCGGAAUGUAUGGUGUAGCGGUGAAAUGCUUAGAGAUCAUGCAGAACACCGAUUGCGAAGGCAGCUUACCAAGCUACUUCUGACGUUGAGGCACGAAAGCGUGGGGAGCAAACAGGAUUAGAUACCCCAGUAGUC